rnacentral:rRNA from 1 species
AUUGAACGCUGGCGGCAGGCCUAACACAUGCAAGUCGAACGAGUGGCGGACGGGUGAGUAAUGUCUGGGAAUCUGCCUGAUGGAGGGGGAUAACUACUGGAAACUGUAUCUAAUACCGCAUACCAUCGGAUGUCCCCAGAUGGGAUUAGCUAGGAGUGGGGGUAACGGCUCACCUAGGCGACGAUCCCUAGCUGGUCUGAGAGGAUGAACAGCCAGACGGGGACUGUGAAACGUUACAUACUCCUACGGGAGGCAGCAGUGGCGAAUAUUUCAAAAUGGGCGCAAGCCUGAUGCAGCCAUGCCGGGUGUAUGAAGAAGGCCUUCGGGUUGUAAAGUACUUUCAGUGGGUAGGCGUUUCCCGCAGAAGAAGCACCGGCUAACUCCGUGCCAGCAGACGCGGGAAUAC